UGCAUGGCUGUCGUCAGCUCGUGUCGUGAGAUGUAGGUUAAGUCCCGCUAACGAGCGCAACCCUUGUCGUAUGUUAUAUGUGUCAUACGAGACUGCCGGUAAAAGCCGGAGGAAGGUGAGGAUGAUGUCAAGUCAGCAUGACCUUUAUAUCCAGGGCUACACACACGCUACAAUGGUCUGUACAAUGGGUAGCCAAGCCGCGAGGCGGAGCCAAUCCUGAAAGCAGGCCUCAGUUCAGAUUGCAGUCUGCAACUCGACUGCAUGAAGCCGGAGUUGCUAGUAACCGCAGGUCAGCAAUACUGCGGUGAAUACGUUCCCGGGUCUU
rnacentral:rRNA from 1 species